rnacentral:rRNA from 1 species
UGGGGGAAUAUUGGGCAAUGGGCGAAAGCCUGACCCAGCAACGCCGCGUGAAGGAAGAAGGUCUUCGGAUUGUAAACUUCUUUUAUGAGGGACGAAGGACGUGACGGUACCUCAUGAAUAAGCCACGGCUAACUACGUGCCAGCAGCCGCGGUAAUACGGAGGGUGCAAGCGUUAAUCGGAAUAACUGGGCGUAAAGGGCAUGCAGGCGGUUAUAGAAGUAGGAUGUGAAAUCCCGGGGCUCAACCUCGGAACUGCAUUCUAAACUGAAUAACUAGAGUAUUGCAGGGGGAGACGGAAUUCCAGGUGUAGCGGUGGAAUGCGUAGAGAUCUGGAAGAACACCAAAGGCGAAGGCAGUCUCCUGGGCAAAUACUGACGC